AAAUUAACAGUGCAUUUGAAACAAGUCGCCCUGGUUUAGGGGUUUGAAUCGUGGGUUUAUAUGAUCUUAAAUGCUAAUGGCCUUGAGGUCGUAUCCCAGCAUAGACACUUGAUUUUUCUACAUACAUGAUGAGGGUUAGUCUAUUAGGUAUAGAUAUUUGAAAGUUUUAUAGUAAAUUUAACACUCCCACCAAAAUGUUACAGAACAACGGAAAGCAUGCAGAACAAAGAAACUUGACGUAGAGUUUGGUAGGGGUGAUCCUGCUUAGAUUACCCCUGGUAGAACACAGGAGCUGGUAUGUGAGGAUAAUUGAUUUAGAUUAAUGAGCAUUCAUGUGUUAGUUUAAACGAUAGUAAACGACCUCAAAGUGUAAUUUUUAUCUUUGAGUUUACCUAUAAACUGUUAAACCGAUUAAAUUUAGAAAAACACAAUGUCUCAAUAGACGUUUUGUUUCCGUAUUUGGUCGAAGAUCUAUUCAACAUUAUGUCAUCAGACUGGAAGUACAGUUAUAUUGAGUGUUUUGGAAACAUUGGGCUUAGUAUCAGGACUUAUCUAGUACCAUGUUACACAUUCGGGAAGAAUGCACAGCUGAUGGAUAAAAAUUGUUUACUACAUGG
rnacentral:lncRNA from 1 species